rnacentral:lncRNA from 1 species
AGGUUCGUACAGUUUAUUCACGAGAAAGUCCACAAUACAAAGACAUGCCAUUUUAUAACUCACUCCCUACUUACGCGCAUUCCUCCACACAAACAGUAGAUAGCCUACGCACAUACAUACACACGAACAGUAGGUAAAAUGUAUCCUUCCCCAUGGUUCUCACCACUGUUCAUCAUUACCAAACUGGCAGUUCCAUCCCCCCGAGAUUAGAGGAACCUUGAAAGGACUCCCUGUCCUAUCGAAUCUUCUAACUUGGAUGGACGAGGGAAAAAAGGGAAGGAGUAGAGAAGUUAUCCAGCCUGCUGACUAAGAAAUGGAAAUAGCCUAUGCUUUGCUGUCUAUCUCUCUCUAUCUCUCUCCGUCUGUCUGCCUGCCUGCCUAACUGACAUAUUGCUGAAGGGCAACAUAGUCAAUGUACUUGCUAGGCCAAGCCUAACUUAGUGAAGACCUUGAUUUGUCUCUGUCUUUACAGUUCCUGAAACAUGUCAAUGGCCUGAUGCAUGGCCUCUACAGAGGUGGUUGGCCACCCACUCAGUUACCAGUGACCUAUUCUGCCACAUCCCAGGGAAUUGAGAGCGCAGGACCACCCCUUCUUAAAUCCAUAGUAAUUGACACAGAGGGUUCUACCUGGAACCCAAAACGGUUCAAACUGGAACCAAAAAGGCUUUGCCUAUGAGGACAGCUGAACAACCUUUUGGACCCUUGUUUCUAAGAGUGUAGUGUGCAAAAGCCUUGUGUCCUGAUUCAACAGACACCUCCCCUGGUGAGUCAUGUAAAGUUUCCUGAUUCAACAAAACCUCCCCUGGUGAGUCAUGUAAAGUUUCCUGAUUGAACAAACACCUCCCCUGGUGAGUCAUGUAAAGUUUCUCCC